UGCCCCCCCCAAAAAAACAAUUUCUAUUACAGAUUUAAUCAGUGGAAUGAAAAAUCAAGUUAUUCUGCUGUGCAACCACUAGUAGCUAAAAAACUGGCUCACUGCUCUGUGUGCUGCCAUCCAGGCUCACCUAAGGAUCAUGAAUGUAAUGGAUGCAAAUUAUGUAAAAGUGAUAGAUACUGUGAACCGCAUGACUAUGAAUACUCCUGUCCUUGUGAAUGGCACCAGACAGAACAUGAUAGGCAACUAAAUGGAGUGGAGAACAAUAUUAAGAGGAAAGCUUGCAGUUGUGAGGGAUUCCCAUUUCAUGAGGUAACCAAUAAUUCAAUUGUAUAUUCAUUUCAUGAACUUUUUAAGUUUCAUGGUCCCAAUUCCUUUUUUUUUUCCCCCCUUGUAGGUUAUUCAAGAAUUCCUUGUGAACAAAGAUAAAUUGAUGAAGGUAAUCAGGUACCAAAGACCUGAUUUAUUAUUGUUCCAGAGAUUUACCCUUGAAAAAAUGGAAUGGCCCAAUCCCUAUGCAUGUGAGAAAUUGUUGGUACUUUUGACCCGCUAUGACAUGAAAGAAAGAAAACUUGGUAGAAGGAACUCUAAACAAUUACAGCCAAUACGAAUUGUUAAACCCCGAAUCAGAAAUGGAGUUCAUUGUUUUCAAGUAGAAUGGGAAAAGCCUGAACAUUAUGCUUUAGAAGAACAACAACAUGGAGAAUUGCUUCUACUUACAAUCGAAGAAGAAUCAUUGUUUACAGCAGCCUAUCCUGAGAUUGUAGCUGACUACCAAAAACAAAAAUUAGAAAUUAAAGGGAAGAAACCAAAAAAA
rnacentral:lncRNA from 1 species